rnacentral:rRNA from 1 species
AAAGCUCAAAUUUAAAAUCUGCCCGUUUCACUGUCCGAGUUGUAAUUUAGAGAAGUGUUACCCGCGCUGGACCGUGUAUAAGUCUCCUGGAAUGGAGCGUCAUAGAGGGUGAAGAAUCCCGUCUUUGACACGGACUACCAGGGCAUUGUGGURYGCUCUCGAAGAGUCGAGUUGUUUGGGAAUGCAGCUCUAAAUGGGUGGUAAAUUCCAUCUAAAGCUAAAUAUUGGCGAGAGACCGAUAGCGAACAAGUACCGUGAGGGAAAGAUGAAAAGAACUUUGGAAAGAGAGUUAAACAGUACGUGAAAUUGCUGAAAGGGAAACGCUUGAAGUCAGUCGCGUUGGCCGGGGAUCAGCCUUGCUUUUUGUGAGGUGUACUUCCUGGUUGACGGGUCAGCAUCAGUUUCGACCAUUGGAGAAAGGCUUGGGGAAUGUGGCACCUUCGGGUGUGUUAUAGCCUCUUGUCGUAUACAGUGGUUGGGACUGAGGAACUCAGCACGCCGCAAGGCCGGGUUUCGACCACGCUCGUGCUUAGGAUGCUGGCAAAAUGGCUUUAAGCGACCCGUCUUGAAACACGGACCAAGGAGUCUAACAUGCUUGCGAGUGUUUGGGUGGAAAACCCGAGCGCGCAAUGAAAGUGAAAGUUGGGAUCUCUGUCGUGGAGAGCACCGACGCCCGGACCUGAUGUUUACUGACGGAUCUGCGGUAGAGCACGUAUGUUGGGACCCGAAAGAUGGUGAACUAUGCCUGAAUAGGGUGAAGCCAGAGGAAACUCUGGU